rnacentral:tRNA from 3 species
GGGCGAUUAGCUCAGCUGGUUAGAGCGCACGAUUCACAUUCGUGAGGUCAGAGGUCCGAAUCCUCUAUCGCCCA